AAGUUCUCUAAGCAAGAUGCAGCUAUAGAGAGACACCAAGCAAUUGGCUAUGGUUUUCCGCCUGCAUACUACCACGAUGGCAAAGGAAAAGCACAUCCGUUUUCAUUAGACCUAGCAGAAGCAGACUUCAAAGAGAACAUCCGUUCUCUUUAUGCCAGACUUACUGGAAAAGACUUCAGCCUGUUCACCAACACCCAGAGUCGUAACCUUGUAGCUGCCCCAUUUAGCCCUACAUAUUUUAAGACACUAAAGUACCAGGGAACAGUUGUUAUCAAGAUACAGGAUCACCCGCAAGAGAAUACAGAUAAUGAGGUAUAUA